rnacentral:tRNA from 1 species
GGAGCGCUGGCGGAGCGGUCGAACGCGCCAGGCUUGAACCCCGGAAUCCGGCUCGCCCGGGUCGUCCGUUCGAAUCGGACGCGCUCCCCCA